AGAGUUUGAUCCUGGCUCAGGACGAACGCUGGCGGCGUGCCUAACACAUGCAAGUCGAACGGAGAAUUUUGAAAAGCUUGCUUAGAGAAAUUUUUAGUGGCGGACGGGUGAGUAACGCGUGGGUAACCUACCCAUAAAGCCGGGACAACCCUUGGAAACGAGGGCUAAUACCGGAUAAUCUUAGAGCUUGGCAUCAAGUUUUAAGGAAAGGUGGCCUCUGAACAUGCUACCGAUUAUGGAUGGACCCGCGUCUGAUUAGCUAGUUGGUGGGGUAAAGGCCUACCAAGGCGACGAUCAGUAGCCGGCCUGAGAGGGUGAACGGCCACACUGGGACUGAGACACGGCCCAGACUCCUACGGGAGGCAGCAGUGGGGAAUCUUCCGCAAUGGACGAAAGUCUGACGGAGCAACGCCGCGUGUAUGAUGAAGGUCUUCGGAUUGUAAAGUACUGUCUUUGAGGAAGAAUGGUCUCUUUGAGAAUAUUGAGGAGACAUGACGGUACCCAAGGAGGAAGCCCCGGCUAACUACGUGCCAGCAGCCGCGGUAAUACGUAGGGGGCAAGCGUUGUCCGGAAUUAUUGGGCGUAAAGGGCGCGUAGGCGGAUGUUUAAGUCCGGUGUGAAAGAUCAGGGCUCAACCCUGAGAGUGCAUCGGAAACUGGGCAUCUUGAGGACAGGAGAGGAAAGUGGAAUUCCACGUGUAGCGGUGAAAUGCGUAGAUAUGUGGAGGAACACCAGUGGCGAAGGCGACUUUCUGGACUAUAACUGACGCUGAGGCGCGAAAGCGUGGGGAGCAAACAGGA
rnacentral:rRNA from 1 species